CGGGCCGCAGGAGCAUGCGCAGAGCGGCGCCGGCGGGGAUCGCUAUGGCAGCGGCGUCUCCGUGGGCCUGGCCUUCGCGCUCGCGGCUCAGCCGGGCCCUCUCGGCAGCCUCCGGCCCGGCAGCUUCUCGGGCAUGAGCUGGGCCCUUCGCUGUGGCCCGCUGCCGCGCCGCACCCGGGAACAUGCCCCUGGCCGCCUACUGCUACCUGCGGGUCGUUGGUAGGGGCAGCUACGGGGAGGUGACGCUCGUGAGGCACCGGCGGGACGGCAGGCAGUAUGUCAUCAAAAAGCUGAACCUGCGAAAUGCCUCCAGCCGAGAGCGGCGAGCUGCCGAACAAGAAGCCCAGCUCCUGUCCCAGCUGAAGCAUCCCAACAUCGUCACCUACAAGGAGUCCUGGGAGGGCGGGGACGGUCUGCUGUACAUCGUCAUGGGCUUCUGCGAGGGAGGUGACCUGUACCGGAAGCUCAAGGAGCAGAAAGGGCAGCUUCUGCCUGAGAGUCGGGUGGUGGAGUGGUUUGUCCAGAUCGCCAUGGCCCUGCAGUAUUUACAUGAAAAACACAUCCUUCACCGAGAUCUGAAAACUCAAAAUGUCUUCCUAACGAGAACAAACAUCAUCAAAGUGGGUGACCUCGGAAUUGCCCGAGUAUUAGAGAACCACUGUGACAUGGCUAGCACCCUCAUCGGCACCCCCUACUAUAUGAGCCCUGAAUUGUUCUCAAACAAGCCCUACAACUAUAAGUCUGAUGUUUGGGCUCUGGGAUGCUGUGCUUAUGAAAUGGCCACCCUCAAACAUGCUUUCAAUGCAAAAGACAUGAAUUCUUUAGUUUAUCGGAUUAUUGAAGGAAAGCUGCCACCAAUGCCGAAAGAUUAUAGCCCAGAGCUGGCAGAACUGAUAAGGACAAUGCUGAGCAAAAGGCCUGAAGAAAGACCCUCUGUAAGGAGCAUCCUGAGGCAGCCUUACAUAAAGCGCCAAAUCUACUUCUUUUUGGAGGCCACAAAGGCAAAAACCUCCAAAAAUAAUAUUAAAAAUGGUGACUCUAAAUCCAAGCCUGUUUCUUCAGUGGUUUCUGGAAAGGCUGAAUCCAAUCAUGAAGUAGUCCCUCCCCAACCACAGCCUGCUGAGGGCUCCAAGACAUAUGUAAUGGAUGAAGACAAAGGUUUAUCCCAGGGGAAACACAUAGUCAUUGACCCCCUGAAGACACCUGCAAGUUUGAAAGACCACACCUGCAAAGCAGACGUGAGCAGUACCACAGAAUCACUAGCUACCAUCAGCAGAGUGAACAUUGACAUAUUACCUGCAGAAAGGAACUUGAGCGACGGGUUAGUUCAAGAGAAUCAGCCAAGAUGCAGAAGUGCCUCUAAUGAGCUAGAAGGUAAAGGUAAUAUUUCUCAAGUGAAGGAGAGGCUGCAGGAUAACACUAAAUCCAGCACUCGACCUGGAAACCCAAUUUCUACGUGCUCCGCUAACAGUGUCACUGGGGAAAGGAGAGAGAAGCCUCUGCAGCCCCUAAACAAAGACCGAAAGCCAAAGGCCCAGGAUCAAGUUGCUGGUGAGUGGAGUAUAGAAGAACAGGACAGAAUCCACCCAGGGUUACAGCCACACAGCUCUGGGUCUGAGCCUUCCCUGUCUCGACAGCGACGGCAGAAGAAAAGAGAACAGAUUGAACACAGUGGGGAGAAAAGACAGUUCCGGGAGGCUCUGCCUCAACUUUUGCCUCCUCUUCCUGCUGUUGGAAAAGUGGAAGCCACAUCAACCCCAAAGGAUGCUGAAAACCAAGACAGAGUGAUCCCUGAGUCUGUGAGCAGUUCCCAGAGCAGUGAGACGUCAUCAUCAAAGGACCGGCCAUUAUCAGCAAGAGAGAGGAGGCGACUAAAGCAGUCACAGGAAGAGAGAUUCCCCUCAGGCCCUUCAGUGAGGAGAGCUUCUCUGAGUGCUCCGGGGCCAGGACAGCCACAAGAGGAAGGCCAGCUCACCCCUGCUCCAGGGUUGUCUUCUGACCGAAGCUGUGCUCAGAAAAGGAAACUUACCCAUUGUUUCUCUGAGGAGGAGUUAAGUUCUUCUACAAGUUCAACUGACAAAUCAGAUGGGGAUUCCAGGGAAGGGAAAGGUCAAUCAAGUGAAAUGAGUGAUUUGGUACAACUGAUGACUCAGACCCUAAAAUUGGACUCUAAAGAGAGCUGUGAGGAUUUCCCAGUGCCUGAUCCAGUGUCAGAAUUUAAACUUCAUCGAAAGUAUCGGGACACACUGAUACUUCAUGGGAAAGUUGCAGAACAGGCAGAGGAACUCCAUUUUAAAGAGCUACCUUUAGGUGAUCAGUUUAUUCUCUUACAGCAAACUGGAGAGCAUGUUUAUUGGAGAAAUGUGUCAAACCAAGGAGCAGCUAAUGCUUGCAAAUUGUUUUGUCUUUUUAUUCUUUCAUUUGGAUAUCUCCAUAAAAGCUAUCAUUCCAGGUUCUGAAAAGAUCAGAAGAAUAGUUGAAAUCUUGAGAGCUGAUGUAAUCCAGGGCCUGGGGAUUCAGCUUUUAGAGCAGGUGUAUGAUCUUUUGGAAGAGGAGGAUGAAUUAAAAAGAGAGGUACGUUUGCAGAAGCAUAUGGGUGAAAAGUAUACGACUUACAGUGUGAAAGCUCGCCAAUUGAAAUUUUUUGAAGAAAAUGUGAAUUUUUGAGAAUUUAACCUGCUGCCAGAGCUAAAGACUUAUAUUCAAAAGUUUUUGGCUUAAACAGAAACAAACUUAUAAUGAUGGUUGGAGGCUAUUCACCAUCUUUAUAGCUCUUGGGUGGUUUUUAGUUUUGUUUUUUACUGGAAAAACGUGACAGACCAAUGUAAUAUGAAGCAAAGUCACAACAGAACCUUUGGCUGUCUUAUUUUGUGAGGAAAAAUCUGUUAUAAGACUUUGGUUAUUUACUGAGCCUUAAACCACCAAUUUUAUAUCUAGAACUUUAUUUUUUUAAGGUACUAUUGUAAUUAGCCUGAAUAAGGACCAUAUAAUAUUGGAUUGGAAGUUUUAUAUUAUACUGCAGUGAUAAAAGCAAUAGGAAAAAUAAACGACAUAUGUCCAGUGAUACUACUUGUCAUUGUUAUUACCUUAGGUAGUAGUUGAUAAAUUAUUUUGGGGGAAAAUUCAAGAUUCCAGGAGUAUAUUUAAAGAAUGUAAAGUUGUUUCUAGUACUUGAGCAAGUGAAUUCCUCUUUACAUACUGAUGGACAUUUAACAUUGUAUUUUCAUGUAAUAUGCACCUUAUCUAGGGUAUAGAAGAAUUGAAACUAAGAGAUAUUUUGGCUUUGUAAAUGAAUGUUUUUAUAUGUGUGUUUUUUAAAAUUUUUUUAGAUUUCUUCAUGAGGGAAAACAUUUUUAAAACACUUAUUCCUUUUCCAAUUAAGCAAUUUAUAAGUAGAGUUCAGCAUAUUUCUCUCCUGAAGUUUGUCUUCUCAUGUUUCAAAUGUAUGUUUAUGUAUUACCUGUUAGUUAUUUAUGAGGGGGUAUUGCCCACCUAGUAAAGGUUUUAUAAGUAUUGAUUAGUAAAUUUUCACCUCUGUAUUCAGAGACUCUAAAAAUGAAAUCUGCUCCAAAAAUGUUUUUAAUUAAAAAUGUAGCUUCCCACCUGGCUCGUAUGGCUGUGUGGUUGAGUGGCGACACAUGAACCAGGAGGUCAUGAUUUGAUUCCUGGUGAAGGUACAUGCCCAGACUGUGGGCUCCAUCCCCAGUAGGGGGCAUGCAGGAGGCAGCUGAUUAAUGAUUUUUCUCAUCAUUGAUGUUUCUCUUUCCUUUUCCCUUACUCUCUUGAAAUAAAUUAAUAUUUUUUAAAAAAGGUAUCUUCUUUGAAUAUAUAUAUACACACAUAAAAUACUCUAAUGAAAUGUUUCCUUUCCAGUCACUUAACAGACCUUUAUUGUUUUGCUAGGUGCUAUUCCUGGAGCUGGGAAUGCAGUGGUGACUAAAACAAUACUCCCUUGUCCUUAAAAUGCUCAUAGCCUUGUUUCUGAGACCUUUUAUUUUUAUUUUGAAGGGUUUGUUAGAACUCAACUAUAAAACCAUCUAGUCCCAAUUUGGGGGA